rnacentral:rRNA from 1 species
CCUACGGGGAGCAGCAGUGGGGAAUAUUGGACAAUGGGCGAAAGCCUGAUCCAGCCAUGCCGCGUGUGUGAAGAAGGCCUUCGGGUUGUAAAGCACUUUCAGUGGGGAAGAAAGCCUUGGGGCUAAUACCCUCGAGGAAGGACAUCACCCACAGAAGAAGCACCGGCUAACUCCGUGCCAGCAGCCGCGGUAAUACGGAGGGUGCGAGCGUUAAUCGGAAUUACUGGGCGUAAAGCGCGCGUAGGCGGUCUGAUAAGCCGGUUGUGAAAGCCCCGGGCUCAACCUGGGAACGGCAUCCGGAACUGGCAGGCUAGAGUGCAGGAGAGGAAGGUAGAAUUCCCGGUGUAGCGGUGAAAUGCGUAGAGAUCGGGAGGAAUACCAGUGGCGAAGGCGGCCUUCUGGACUGACACUGACGCUGAGGUGCGAAAGCGUGGGUAGCAAACAGGAUUAGAUACCCUAGUAGUC